rnacentral:rRNA from 1 species
AUAAGUUAUCGUUUAUUUGAUAGUACCUUACUACUUGGAUAACCGUGGUAAUUCUAGAGCUAAUACAUGCUAAAAAUCCCGACUUCGGAAGGGAUGUAUUUAUUAGAUUAAAAACCAAUGCCCUCUGGGCUCUCUGGUGAUUCAUGAUAACUUCUCGAAUCGCAUGGNCUUGCGCCGGCGAUGGUUCAUUCAAAUUUCUUCCCUAUCAACUUUCGAUGUUUGGGUAGUGGCCAAACAUGGUUGCAACGGGUAACGGAGGGUUAGGGCUCGACCCCGGAGAAGGAGCCUGAGAAACGGCUACUACAUCCAAGGAAGGCAGCAGGCGCGCAAAUUACCCAAUCCCGACACGGGGAGGUAGUGACAAUAAAUACUGAUACAGGGCUCUUUUGGGUCUUGUAAUUGGAAUGAGNACAAUUUAAAUCCCUUAACGAGGAACAAUUGGAGGGCAAGNCUGGNAACGUGCUGGUGCCGGAAAUAGCCACCCUCAGNAAACAAUAGGNUAGNCGAGNGCUCGNCAGNGACGNUGAGCACCGGCGAGACAACCUGNAUCGGGGAGGCUAAGGGCAUCGCGCCUAUGCUAAUCCCGAGCAGAGCCGCUGCGNGGCCUGUGUAGAGCACGCCAAGGUGUCGGUCCCGAGGCCGCCUCGGGCUUAAGG